GGUUGGGCUAUGAUGUGUGCUACCAGC
rnacentral:piRNA from 1 species